UACGAAGGGGGCUAGCGUUGUUCGGAAUUACUGGGCGUAAAGCGCACGUAGGUGGGUUGUUAAGUCAGGGGUGAAAUCCUGGAGCUCAACUCCAGAACUGCCUUUGAUACUGGCAACCUAGAGACUGGAAGAGGUUAGUGGAAUUCCCAGUGUAGAGGUGAAAUUCGUAGAUAUUGGGAAGAACACCAGUGGCGAAGGCGGCUAACUGGUCCAGUACUGACGCUGAGGUGCGAAAGCGUGGGGAGCAAACAGG
rnacentral:rRNA from 1 species